rnacentral:rRNA from 1 species
GACGAACGCUGGCGGCGUGCUUAACACAUGCAAGUCGAACGGAAAGGCCCUGCUUUUGUGGGGUGCUCGAGUGGCGAACGGGUGAGUAACACGUGAGUAACCUGCCCUUGACUUUGGGAUAACUUCAGGAAACUGGGGCUAAUACCGGAUAGGAGCUCCUGCUGCAUGGUGGGGGUUGGAAAGUUUCGGCGGUUGGGGAUGGACUCGCGGCUUAUCAGCUUGUUGGUGGGGUAGUGGCUUACCAAGGCUUUGACGGGUAGCCGGCCUGAGAGGGUGACCGGCCACAGUGGGACUGAGAUACGGCCCAGAGUCCUGCGGGAGGCAGCAGUGGGGAAUAGUGCACAAUGGGCGGAAGCCUGAUGCAGCAACGCCGCGUGCGGGAUGACGGCCUUCGGGUUGUAAACCGCUUUCGCCUGUGACGAAGCGUGAGUGACGGUAAUGGGUAAAGAAGCACCGGCUAACUACGUG